rnacentral:rRNA from 1 species
UUAAGUGACUAAGCGUACACGGUGGAUGCCUUGGCAGUCAGAGGCGAUGAAAGACGUAGUAACUUGCGAUAAGCCCAGAUUAGGUAGUAACAACCAUUUGAGUCUGGGAUUUCUGAAUGGGGAAACCCACGUGCAUAAGCACGUAUCCUUACCUGAAUACAUAGGGUAAGGAGGCGAACCGGGGGAACUGAAACAUCUAAGUACCCCGAGGAAAAGAAAUCAACCGAGAUUCCGAAAGUAGCGGCGAGCGAAAUUGGACUAGCCCUUAAGCUUUACACGCGUUAGACGAACGGUCUGGAAAGUCCGACGAUACAGGGUGAUAGUCCCGUAGUUGACGACGUGUGUUCAGUGAAAUCGAGUAGGGCGGGACACGUGAUAUCCUGUCUGAAUAUGGGGGGACCAUCCUCCAAGGCUAAAUACUACUGACUGACCGAUAGUGAACCAGUACCGUGAGGGAAAGGCGAAAAGAACCCCUGUGAGGGGAGUGAAAUAGAACCUGAAACCGUGUACGUACAAGCAGUAGGAGCAGGCUUUGUCCUGUGACUGCGUACCUUUUGUAUAAUGGGUCAGCGACUUAUAUUCAGUGGCAAGGUUAACCAUCUAGGGGAGCCGUAGGGAAACCGAGUCUUAACUGGGCGUUCAGUCUCUGGAUAUAGACCCGAAACCAGGUGAUCUAGCCAUGGGCAGGUUGAAGGUUGAGUAACAUCAACUGGAGGACCGAACCGACUAAUGUUGAAAAAUUAGCGGAUGACUUGUGGCUAGGGGUGAAAGGCCAAUCAAACCUGGAGAUAGCUGGUUCUCCCCGAAAGCUAUUUAGGUAGCGCCUCGGACGAAUACUACUGGGGGUAGAGCACUGUUAAGGCUAGGGGGUCAUCCCGACUUACCAACCCUUUGCAAACUCCGAAUACCAGUAAGUACUAUCCGGGAGACACACGGCGGGUGCUAACGUCCGUCGUGGAGAGGGAAACAACCCAGACCGCCAGCUAAGGUCCCAAAUUACUACUAAGUGGGAAACGAUGUGGGAAGGCUCAGACAGCCAGGAUGUUGGCUUAGAAGCAGCCAUCAUUUAAAGAAAGCGUAAUAGCUCACUGGUCGAGUCGGCCUGCGCGGAAGAUGUAACGGGGCUAAGUAGUAAACCGAAGCUGCGGCAAUAUACUUUUGUAUAUUGGGUAGGGGAGCGUUCUGUAAGCGGUUGAAGGUGUGUGGUAACGCAUGCUGGACGUAUCAGAAGUGCGAAUGCUGACAUGAGUAACGAUAAAGGGGGUGAAAAACCUCCUCGCCGGAAGACCAAGGGUUCCUGUCCAACGUUAAUCGGGGCAGGGUAAGUCGACCCCUAAGGCGAGGCCGAAAGGCGUAGUCGAUGGGAAACGGGUUAAUAUUCCCGUACUUCUUACAAUUGCGAUGGGGGGACGGAGAAGGCUAGGUGGGCCUGGCGACGGUUGUCCAGGUUCAAGUGCGUAGGCUUAAGAGUUAGGUAAAUCCGGCUCUUUCUAAGGCUGAGACACGACGUCGAGCACCUACGGGUGUGAAGUCAUUGAUGCCAUGCUUCCAGGAAAAGCCUCUAAGCUUCAGAUUGUAAGGAAUCGUACCCCAAACCGACACAGGUGGUCGGGUAGAGAAUACCAAGGCGCUUGAGAGAACUCGGGUGAAGGAACUAGGCAAAAUGGUACCGUAACUUCGGGAGAAGGUACGCUCUUGAUGGUGAAGUCCCUUGCGGAUGGAGCUGACGAGAGUCGCAGAUACCAGGUGGCUGCAACUGUUUAUUAAAAACACAGCACUGUGCAAAAUCGUAAGAUGACGUAUACGGUGUGACGCCUGCCCGGUGCCGGAAGGUUAAUUGAUGGGGUUAGACUUCGGUCGAAGCUCUUGAUCGAAGCCCCGGUAAACGGCGGCCGUAACUAUAACGGUCCUAAGGUAGCGAAAUUCCUUGUCGGGUAAGUUCCGACCUGCACGAAUGGCGUAAUGAUGGCCACGCUGUCUCCACCCGAGACUCAGUGAAAUUGAAAUCGCUGUGAAGAUGCAGUGUACCCGCGGCUAGACGGAAAGACCCCGUGAACCUUUACUACAGCUUGGCACUGAACAUUGACCCUACAUGUGUAGGAUAGGUGGGAGGCUUUGAAGCACGUACGCCAGUAUGUGUGGAGCCGUCCUUGAAAUACCACCCUUGUAGUGUUGAUGUUCUAACGUCGACCCCUUAUCGGGGUUGCGGACAGUGCCUGGUGGGUAGUUUGACUGGGGCGGUCUCCUCCCAAAGAGUAACGGAGGAGCACGAAGGUGGGCUAAUCACGGUUGGACAUCGUGAGGUUAGUGCAAUGGCAUAAGCCCGCUUGACUGCGAGAAUGACAAUUCGAGCAGGUGCGAAAGCAGGUCAUAGUGAUCCGGUGGUUCUGAAUGGAAGGGCCAUCGCUCAACGGAUAAAAGGUACUCCGGGGAUAACAGGCUGAUACCGCCCAAGAGUUCAUAUCGACGGCGGUGUUUGGCACCUCGAUGUCGGCUCAUCACAUCCUGGGGCUGAAGUCGGUCCCAAGGGUAUGGCUGUUCGCCAUUUAAAGUGGUACGCGAGCUGGGUUUAGAACGUCGUGAGACAGUUCGGUCCCUAUCUGCCGUGGGCGUUGGAAGAUUGAAGGGGGCUGCUCCUAGUACGAGAGGACCGGAGUGGACGAACCUCUGGUGUUCGGGUUGUGUCGCCAGACGCAUUGCCCGGUAGCUAAGUUCGGAAUCGAUAACCGCUGAAAGCAUCUAAGCGGGAAGCGAGCCCUGAGAUGAGUCUUCCCUGAUACUUUAAGUAUCCUAAAGGGUUGUCGGAGACUACGACGUUGAUAGGUCAGGUGUGUAAGUGCUGUGAGGCAUUGAGCUAACUGAUACUAAUUGCCCGUGAGGCUUAACCAU